AGACUUGAGUCAUGUGGCUAGGAGACAGGCUCACCUUUCUACCCCAUCCCUGGUCCAUCCACUUCUGCUUCAGGCCUGUGAAUGAAGGAAAUAACCUCCCCUGUGUCUCUAAAGUUACAUUCUGGGAAGAAACGGAGUCAUGGAAGGAUAUAGAAUGAAGUAGCUCUGUUCAACAAGGAAAUCUGUAGCAAAACCAAUCCUGGAAACCCAAACUAGGGGUUUGAUAUCCAUCUCUUUGCCCAUCAGGGUGCAAAAGUGUUGCUUAGCAACAUCGAUUCUUCCAGCUCUAACAACUGCGGCAGCCCGCACAGCUGACAAUGGAGCAGAGUUUGCGAGUGAGCUCCUCAUUUUUCAGCUUCUUCACUGUGGCGAGAGGGAAUAAAGAAAGAAAAGGCAAGUGGGAUGAAAGAAACACAGUCAACAGCACAGCGUGGAAAAGGACCGGCUGAUGGUGGGGAAUGGUCGGGUACCACACAUCCCACACACGCUUAGUAAAUGCUCGCCAAGAGAAUUAAAAGGGGGUGAUCACAGCAGCAGAGGUUAAUUAGGGAAACUAAAGAGUCAAUAGAAUGUGAUGGCCGGGCAGUCUGGAAAUGGAAGUUUUUGACUGAGUGGGUGUCUAAGCACAUUCAUCCCCUCCCUGUUUUGGGGUUUUGUUUCUUUUUAGGCCAGGUUAUUGGGCGUGUUUUUAAGGGAAAUAGAAAGGAUUGAGGAGGACUUCUUGUUUUUAUUUUAUUUUAUUUUUUUGCAACUCUGUUAUUGGCAAACCUAAAUAGGGGUUCAACAGUUUCUUAUUGAGUUAUAAGUGUUUACAAAGAUGUUCAGAACAGCCUGCUUUCAAAACUUCAGUGACUGUAAUAUCUUGGGCUGGCUUCUUUGGCCUUGUUCAACAGAGGAGUGUGCAACAGUGAACACUUGCAACUGAUCUGCAACAUUCAAGGUGAUUUUAAUGUUGGAAAUACCCUCAUUUCCUGGCUCACAGUCUUUCUCCCUCCUUCCAUCCUUUCAUGGAGAUAAAAUGGAAGAACAUGUGCUGGCCACUCAUAUGAGAUAUUUCAAAUCUGAGAGAUUACAAUCUUUCAUAUCAAAUGCAGUUACGGCCCUUUGUAGAGCAGUUUUCUGAAGUGAAUCAGAUGAGUUUUUCAGAGCUAAAGGAAGUCAAGAUGAAAUAAAUAAAAGCAGAGAGGAAAUUGAAAGGGGUGGUGGUUGGGGGAACAUAUGUUUUCAGAUGAUAUUUUAAAAUAGAUGGAGAGCUGAUGAGACAGAGAUACUGAAAACCGACUCCAGAUGGCAGGAAUAGCAAUGGCAAGCUGGUGUGAAGGGACAGAACACAGGCUGGCACCAGACAGGGGAGGACGCGAAAGGAGAGGAGGGAAGCAAGCUGAGCAAAGCAGCCAUGUCGGUGGGUGGGCUACUCAGUGUGUGAGGUUAUAGAAGAAGAAAUGGGAAUCAUUGAAUUCAUACCCGUCACUUUUAGUUUAAUAAUUUACUCAGUAGGUUCAUGUCAUUUUAAAAAAUGAUAUGUCUAUGAAAAAGGUAUAUAUGCUUCACUCUGUUUUGAUUUUAUUUUUAUUUUUAGAGACAGGGUCUUUCUC
rnacentral:lncRNA from 1 species